rnacentral:rRNA from 1 species
AGUGAACGCUGGCGGUAGGCCUAACACAUGCAAGUCGAACGGCAGCACAGUAAGAGCUUGCUCUUACGGGUGGCGAGUGGCGGACGGGUGAGGAAUACAUCGGAAUCUACUUUUUCGUGGGGGAUAACGUAGGGAAACUUACGCUAAUACCGCAUACGACCUACGGGUGAAAGCAGGGGAUCUUCGGACCUUGCGCGAUUGAAUGAGCCGAUGUCGGAUUAGAUAGUUGGCGGGGUAAAGGCCCACCAAGGCGACGAUCCGUAGCUGGUCUGAGAGGAUGGUCGGCCACACUGGAACUGAGACACGGUCCAGACGCCUGCGGGAGGCAGCAGUGGGGAAUAUUGGACAAUGGGCGCGAGCCUGAUCCAGCCAUACCGCGUGGGUGAAGGAGGCCUUCGGGUUGUAAAGCCCUUUUGUUGGGAAAGAAAAGCAGCAGGCUAAUACCCCGCUGUUCUGACGGUACCCAAUGAAUAAGCACCGGCUAACUUCGUG